UUCUGACCUCAAGCAGCUCAGAAUUUAGGUGAACACAUAGAAAACAACCAAGUACUACUUACAUGAAGAGAUGGAUCAGUGCAGGUGAUAAUAAUCAGAAAGAGACUCAUGAAAGAGAAGUAAAAUUUAGAAAGACCUAAAUUCUAUAUGUUUGCCUUAUCUGCCCCAAAUAUUGUCUUAAAAUGACCAAUCCACCCUCAGGGCUCAGUCAAUCUCAUUCUGGUAACCUGAGAAUAUCCAGAAGAAAAAGACAUAGAAAUACUCUGUUUUCUACAGCAUCCCAUUGGUUUGGGGAAAUAUCUAGUGGUAGGCUCCUCACAUUCAUAUGAUAAAGGAGAUGACUGUGAGCAGCAAUGUGGCCGGUUCCUCUGCCCAAUGGCACAAGCAGAGUCACAAAUAACAGAAAUGAAAGGAUCACUACAAAUUGUGUUAUUGAACUGCAUGACCUACAUGGAACAAUCAACUCACUCCUAGGUUUGGCAGGGCCUUUCUGACUUGAUUCCCUGAAAAACAAAACAAAACAAUAAAACCCAAACCAAACCAAAAAAUAAAAAAUUAAAAAAAAAAUUAAAAAAUGAGAGACUCUGAGUGUCAUCAGCUUUGCUCCAUGUGGCUGCCUUGAUAAGAGUUCACUUUUCUCUGUGUCUUGAGAAAAUUUUUAUGAUUAAUGGAAGACAGAAUAUUAUCCAGUAUUAACAGUUAUUUUCCAAUUCUGUAUUAUAAAAUUAUUUCUGAUAAUGAAAAAUUCUCUAUUUCUUUAAAUUAUUUAAAACAUUGAAAGUCUACAGUGUAUAAAAGAAAGCACUGGAGUUCUGGAGAUGUGAGGCAGAAUACGAAGGUAAACAGGAAUCGUUAUUCCUUUUCUGAGAGGUAUGUAAUCUACAGGGGAAGCAGGCAGCACCUGAAAGGGGAGGAGAGGUUGGUGGGCCAUGCAGGGUUGAAGGAGGAGCAUAGGAACAUGGGUCUGGGAAAGUUUGGCUAUCUUUACAUUGCUCAAUUGAAAUACUACUUUGGAAUAUUUUCUCAACACCAGGGUUCUAGUUUGUUAGUCCUACUGAGACAUCAGGUCAGAAGAAAAGAACAAAAGUGAGAAGGCAUUCAUGGCUUUGCAUUCUCAGAAAGACAUCCUGCUGGUUCAACUGUAGUUUUAACGUGAGCUCUCCUCGGGCCUGGGAGAAAUUCUGAGAAUGACCCCUGAGAAUGAGCUCAGUGGUGAGAAGUCCAAGGACAGGAUGAGGUCGACAUUGCAAGUGUUUUUGGAAUAAGAAUCAACACACUUAAAGACUGGGAUUUGGAAGUGAGAAGGAGUACAUGGAAGUGAUUCAGGAAAACAAGAAAUUGUGACACAAGUGGCAACAUUUGUCAAAGUUCUAUGCAUUUGUUCCUUUGGAUUCAAGUGAAACAUCUGGAGUCAAUUCUUAACCCAAUGUUGGUUUGUUGUCACCAACCUCUUUGCCCUGCUAUUGACACCUUGUUCUAUUUGCCAUCUUCAGAAUUUUCUCUGGUCAGGUCUGCUAGCUGCCACUCCAACCAAAUUAUAGACUGAAUGUUUGAAUGUGUUCUCCAAAAUCCAUUUGAGGAAACUCCAACUACCAAUGUCCCAAUGUGCUUGGAAAUGGGGUUUGGGAGGGAUUAGAUAAUGAGUGUGGGGCCUUCAUGAAUCUAAUUAGUGCCUGUAUAACAAAAAAUCAUGAGAUUCCCUCUCUCUCUCUCUCUCUCCCUCUCUCUCUGUCUCUCUCUCUUCAACAUGCUAGGACACAGUAAGAACCUUGUCAUCUGUAAAGCUGUAAGAGGACCCUUACCAAGAAAAUAACAAUGCUGGCACAGUUCUUUUGGACUUUCAGCCUCCAGAACUGGGAGAAAUAAAUGUUUGUUUUGUAAGCCACACAGU